rnacentral:rRNA from 1 species
UACGUAGGGACCAAGCGUUGUUCGGAUUUACUGGGCGUAAAGGGCGCGUAGGCGGCAUAUUAAGUCAGCUGUGAAAUCUCCGAGCUUAACUCGGAACUGUCAGCUGAUACUGAUGUGCUAGAGUGCAGAAGGGGCAAUCGGAAUUCUUGGUGUAGCGGUGAAAUGCGUAGAUAUCAAGAGGAACACCUGAGGUGAAGACGGGUUGCUGGGCCGACACUGACGCUGAGUGCGCGAAAGCCAGGGGAGCAAACGGG